UCUUAAUGUCGUCGGUCUCAUGACAAUGACAAUAAAGUUUUUGAUUUUGAUUCUGAUUCUGAAAUACACCCUCCUCAAGAGUUCAAUGAUUUAGGCAGUUAUGUUUAUACAAAUACUAAAUGUAUGUUUAGUGUCUUCAUACAGGUGUUUUUUCUUAACCUGGAAGCCUGAGUACGGCAGCAGAAGACAGGCCAAGCUUUGGCUAAAAUUCACGGCUGGACACCAGAGUUGUCCUCACCCCUCCCGGUAAAACAAAAAAGAGAGAAUGUAGUUUGAGGCAGGUUUUUCUCGCUGACCUGCUCUGGGUGCUGUGUCCCUGAAUCUCACCAGUGUUAACCUCUGGCGGAAGACAUGGAGAAAAGGAAAAGAUGUUCCUGGUAAAUCACUGAAACAAAUAAAACCACACACAACCAGAGAAAGAUAUGAGAAGGGUGAGGAACAGACACAUGUGCGUGUUAGAGAAAUGCCUCGUUUGAGAAAAAGUUAAAGUAACCCAUAUACAGACGCACCCAUACAUGCAAUGAAGAAACAGCUUACAUACAUGUGCACGUACAUGCAAGGUUAAAGUAGCGACACUUAACAUACACCUGUUUUUAAAUGAUAUAGUUCAUACAUUACUGACAAUUAAACGCUUUGGGUUGCAGGACAACAACGUAACGUUAAAAGACAAAGACACUGGUCUGAGGAUUAAGUGAGGACACGACAAAUUUAGUGGUUAAAAGGGUCGACUUGGGACAUGUUUUUGUUGAUUGUUUAAGACAAAUGACUACUGAAUGAUAGGAAAUUCCUUUUUAGGUUUCUAAACAGGAUCUUAAGAAUUUUAACACGUACCUGUGUUGUCCUGUCAACUUGAGGGGUUAUGAGUUGAUUAUAUGGAGAAAAAAAAAAAAAAAAAAAAAAAACAAAAACAAAAAAGGGGGGAGACGAGAUCUCGUUGUUUCUCCCCUCUCGGGAUAACACAGCCAACACAGCACAGCCAACACAACAUCAUUUUCCUGUUCGCCUGUUUUGUUUUGUUUUUGUUUUUUCUGAGAGCCGAAGCUGACCUGGACUCCUACCCUCCCCUCUACCAUCGUUGCCCUCUCCGCGACCAUCUUUGACCCUUUGACCCCUGAAGGCCACAGCAGCUGGACUCACAACAACAACUUGAGGAUGUCAACAGUGCUGCAAAAGAGUGAUCUCAUGCAGCAGAGACGGAGAGCACUAAACCUAAAGCCCGUUUCACUACACGGGGGAAAUUCCCAGGCUGCGUCAGCUGACAGAGCUGUGACGAGACGCGCAUUAAGCCCGGAGGAAAAGGGACGGUGAGCAGAAGGAUGCUGACCUCUGAGAAGAGCCGAACAGCAGAGCUGCAGAAGGCCGUGGAGCAAAGUAAGGAAGAUGCAGGCAGCUGCAACAACGGAUGAAAACAGACCCAAAGAGGAGGGGAGGACCCUAGGCCAUGCGUCAGGCCGCUGGUUUACCUAAACUACAGAACAGGAAGGUUGUUGCUCUUUAACUCCUAGAACACGCCCUUGGCGAGGUGGGGGGAACUGGACCACCUUUCUGUGCCCCAUCAUCCUCUAUUAGACGACAUCCAAGCUAAGUAAACAUGUCUUGGCCCUUUCCCCCUGAAAUGACAGGCAGGCAAAGAUGUUGCGUCUUUGUUUGCUUCCUGGCCCUGGGUCUCAUUCCCAUUGGCAUAAUCCUGAUCUGUGAAGGGCCCCCGACACUUCUGACACCUUCAAGUUCAAAAGCUUCGCCCCCUUCUGACAGUCCCAAUCUGACAAAUGUAGCCCCUAGGGUCUUGCCCACCACUUCCUCUCCAGUUUUGCCCACGCCCGAUCCAUUUAGAAAGAAACGAGACACGGUUACCUCCUCGCCAACGGAUGAUGAAAACUCUGAUCGUGAGGGCGACGAACAUUAUCGUCUUUCUCUUGUUUAAAUGCUUCUAGAAUGGUUGUUUCUCUGUGGUGUUUUGUAUUAGGCUUGUUAUUAAUUGUUUCCCUCACCCACUUCCUCUUGAAGGAUAUAUCUGGUUGAACUGUGUCUGGUCGGGUUGUGAGGGUUAAGCGAUGUUCUCAGGGUCUCCGGACUUAAGCCUGAGCGAAUGUGUACUCCCACCAAUGGAUGUGAAUUGUUUUAUUCCACACCCCUUCCUCACGUUUUACCAUAUUCACUUUUGAAUGUCCGUAGCAGUUACCGUUCUGAGUUUAUUCUACGGUUGAUUUAUUCUUUCACAUUUUCACGUUUAUAUCUCUCAUUAUUAUAGUAUACUCUGUACUCUCCACAUUUUUAUCAUUACUUAGGUUUUUUGGUUGCUGGGUUACAGGAACUGUUAAUUUUGUGUCACUACCCUGGUUGCACUAACUCGUUGUAUCCGUGUGUGCAGGACAGCUGUUACUGCUUUCAUCGGGAACCGAGACUGCUUGCAGCCGACCCCUGGGCAGGGUGGUGCCUGGACUCUUUUCUCCUCAUCUGCAAUGACAGAUAAAGACAAAUGAUAAGACCCGAGGAGUUUUUCGAGCCAGGCUUCGACACGUCUCUGUGUUCCUUUGAAUGUUACUUAUGUUUGUGUGUUGACCCAUUUAAGAUGGGUCAAAAGGGGGAUUUGAAGAAAAUAUAAUCUGAUCAAACAUUAUUCAGCUUUAAAUAUUGUUCAGCUUUAAAGUUACUGUGCAACUGUGUAAUAAAAAUAUGCGCUCACGACUUUGGCCUUGAGAGCGAUAAGAAGCGAUCGCCUCAUUCUGCAGGUGCAAGAUAUCUGCAAGCGAAGAGACUAGAACACCCAAGGCCGCUUUCCUUUUAUGGAGUUGUUUUUCUGCUAAUGCAGCACUUUCAUCACAACCCCCUCCUGUGUCCGGUUGUCUUCAUUCUCCGCCAGCCUGGUUAAGUCAAUUCCUCCUUAACAUCUAAAAGAACCUAUUUAAUGAAGGAAGACGGGUUCACUUUGUGUUUAAUAUUAUUCUAUUGCUGUUGUUGUUUUUUUAUAUCCUUCA
ensembl:lncRNA